rnacentral:lncRNA from 1 species
GGCGCGCCCCGAGCGCCCGCGGAGAGGCAGAGGCAGCCACGGCCGGGGCCCACCCGCGCCGGGCAGCGCCUCGGGGCCGCGGACGCCCUCCCGGCCGGGCCGAGCCGCGGGCGCGUACAAAGGGCCGAGCUCCUGCCCUCUAGGGGCGCGGGCAACUCCUGGGGGCGGGCGGGCGCGUCUCGGGGCCGCCGCGGCGAAGACCCCCGCAGAGCGCAAAGUAGGCUUUCUUCGAGAUUUCCAGAAAGGACGGGCGAAGGCGGCGGGUCUGGGGAAGAGCGGGCCGGGCUUCGGGGCCCCGGGGCCCGGGCCCCAACUUGGCCGCGGCCUGCCCCGCCCGCUCCGGCGCGCGAGGCGGGGGCGGGGGCGGGGGCGGGGGAGGCGACAGCGCCCCGCAGCGACAGUGCCCCCGGCGCGGUGCCCUCUGCCGCCCGCCGCCCCCGGCCCCGCGCCCCCGGCCCCGCGCCCCCGCGCCCCCGGCCCCGCCUGCGGCCGCCGCGCCCCCGGGCGCGCUCGGGUUUCUCGGGUUUCUCCAGCCAUCUUGUCCCAUUUCCCUUUCUCCGCGGCCCCGCGCCCGCAGCGCUCCCGCCGCCCCCGGCCCCCACCCGGCUCGGCCCUUCUCGCCGCCCGGCCCCCUCCCCGGCCCCGCGCACCUGCCGGGCGGCGGGAGCCGGCGCCGCCUGCCACCCGGGCGGGCCCGCAACAAAGGCGGCGGCGCCCGCCGCGGCUCCAGCCCCGCGCCCCCGCCCCCGCCGGCGCCGGAACGCCCCGGAGCCGCGGGAAGGGCCGCGCCGCCCCGCGCCCGCCGCCCGCCGCCCGCCGCCCGCCGCCCGCGCACUCACCGAGCGGCCGGGCGCCGGCCGGGGCCGCGGGGGGACGCCGAGGGCUCCGAGCCGGCUGUCACAGCGCCAUCCCGGCCGCCUCUCCGGCUUCCCGUGCGCGCGGCCCCUCGGGAGGGAGCGGGGAGGACACGUGGUGGGAGGAGGAGGGUCCGGCCGCGAGCUGAGGGUGUUGGGAGGCGAGGGGAGGAGCGCGGCUGAUGUCAGCGGGCUCGGCGGCGCCGGCUCCGGACACUCCUCCCCGCGCGGUUUCCGGCAGUCGCCGCCGCACGGUCCUCCCUGCCGAGCCCGGGACCGUCCUCGGGUCCCCCGGCCGGCCUGGCCGCCGCGCCCCCGCGCCCCCGCGCCCCCGGCCUCCCGGCCCCGGCCCCCGCCCCCACCCCCGCCCCGGGGACCGUCGGCUUCGAGCGCUCAGGGCGCCCUCCGCGGGCAGCAGGCGGGAAGGGCCCGGCUCUGCUUUAACCGCGCGUGA